GAUGAACGCUGGCGGCGUGCCUAAUACAUGCCAGUCGAGCGAACAGAUGAGGAGCUUGCUCCUCUGACGUUAGCGGCGGACGGGUGAGUAACACGUGGAUAACCUACCUAUAAGACUGGGAUAACUUCGGGAAACCGGAGCUAAUACCGGAUAAUAUAUUGAACCGCAUGGUUCAAUAGUGAAAGACGGUUUUGCUGUCACUUAUAGAUGGAUCCGCGCCGCAUUAGCUAGUUGGUAAGGUAACGGCUUACCAAGGCAACGAUGCGUAGCCGACCUGAGAGGGUGAUCGGCCACAUUGGAACUGAGACACGGUCCAGACUCCUACGGGAGGCAGCAGUAGGGAAUCUUCCGCAAUGGGCGAAAGCCUGACGGAGCAACGCCGCGUGAGUGAUGAAGGUCUUCGGAUCGUAAAACUCUGUUAUUAGGGAAGAACAAAUGUGUAAGUAACUAUGCACGUCUUGACGGUACCUAAUCAGAAAGCCACGGCUAACUACGUG
rnacentral:rRNA from 1 species